AUCCUUUGUUGUCUGAUGUUCAAAAUCUUGCAAGCUGUUCUUUCAUUUAUUUCAUCUUGAUUUAGUUGUUUCAGGUUGGAGGGUAAAUAUCUAUAAGAAGUUGAAGGUCCUAAGAGACUUCUCUCCUUGAGAUACCCUCCUCAUUUGUCUUCCAUAGAAUUUAUAUAUUCUGCUUUUACCUGUUACCUCUGGCUGUUUCUUCUCCAUCUUUCAAAUCUGUAACCCCUAAAGCAGUGGUAAAGAAUCUGCCUGCCAAUCAGGAGGCACAAAAGAUGCAUGUUCAAUACCUUGGUGGGGAAGAUCCCCUGGAAGAGGGCAUGGCAACCCACUCCAGUAUUCUUACCUGGAGAAGAUAUUAAAAGAUAUUCUUGUCUGGAUUUCUGGAGCUUAGAAGCCCAAGAUCAAGGUGCUGGAAAAUUCUGUUUCUGGUCACAAGUUCCAUUCUGGGUGACGUCUGAGAUCCUGACUCAGGAUGUAAACUAGGAGGGUCCAGGUCAUGGUGACAGUAACCGAAAGUACAUCAUGAGAAAUGCUGGACUGAAUGAAGCACAAGCUGCAAUCAAGAUUGCUGGGAAAAAUAUCAAAACCCUCAGAUAUGCAGAUGACACCAUAACUUUUCUCUCAAGGAGUGGCAAGAUACAGCAAGGAACAGAUAGCCAUGAUG
ensembl:lncRNA